UAGAUAGAGUAAACUCUUACUCCAACUCCCCGUUCCAAAACUGCGUUUAAUAUAGCGUUCAUCAAACAGAAGAACAUACCAGAUAUUAAACUGAUAAGAACACACACUACACUCAAUCAUUAACCAAACAGCAAAAAAGAGAUACCAGUUACCCGGGGCCUCCCACGUCCUCCCUUCUUUCAUCCACCUUAAGGUCACGGUGAGAAACCUCACCUUCGGUAAACAUCUCACCUGCUUUCUGAUGUAAAUAUUAUAUUGAAAACAUAGGCCCUUUGAGACAUUUUGUCCGCUCCUUGACUCUUAGUGACUUCGAGCUUUGUCGCCCCUUUUCCUUGGUCGCGAGGGCCGUUCAUUUGCAUGUCCCACCCGCUCUGCGCCCGGGAGGCGUGGCCACCAAGGGGCCGGGCCCUGCACAGCGCCCUGGGGAAGCUGGUUUGAAAGCUCUGGAGCGACCCCAAUGCCGGAUAUUUACGUAAUUUCGAAGCAGCUCUUCACAAAAUAUUCAUCAGUUACAGAAGGAAGUCACUUCACAGUGGAAAAAUCUGGCAGGUGCCACCUUAAUCAAGUAACCAAAAUGAACAUCAUCAGUAAUAGGACAAAUUGCAAUCGUGUGCCUCCUGAUAGUCUAGCAAGAAGAACACAGCAUCACUUCUAUGAUGCUCCUGCCAAUAAUAUAUAAUUGGAAUCUAAUCCUAAAGCAACAAAUUCAAAUUAAGGAAAAUUCUACAAAAUAAUUGGCCUGUAAUAGAAGUGUUAAAGGUCAUGAAAGUUAAGGAAAGACUGAAGAACUGUUCCAGACUGAAGAUGAAAGAGAUGUGAGAAAUAAGUGCAGUGGUGAUUCUGAACUGGAUCCUGACUUGGCAAAACUUGAAUAGGUCUGUUGGUUGGAUGGUAGAAAUAUAGUAAUGUUGAUUUCCUGAUUUUUGCUAGCUAUAUUACAAUUUUAUUGGAUUCAGUCCUUGUUUACAGAAGACACACAGUAUGUAGGGGUUAUAAGAAGUCAGCUCAGGAACUUUCAAAUCAUUUAGCAAAACAAAAGUUCUUCGUACUUUAAUUCCAAGACUUCUAUAAAUUUGAGAUUAUUUUUAAAAUACUUAAAAAAAACUCCUUUAAAGUCUCUCAA
rnacentral:lncRNA from 1 species